rnacentral:lncRNA from 1 species
UCACUUAAAUUGCUAUCAACCUUUUAUUUUAAUUAUUUUGAGUGAAGGUGCUAUUAACAAGAGCAAGUGCAUUCAAGAUUUAAGUAUUAAAUUCAUCAAUUUAUGGUUACCUUGUUUCUAUUUUUUCUCAGGUAAUUUGGUACAUUCGUUCCAUUUUUACUUUUAUUUAGUAAUUUAAUUAUUGCAUAUUUAUUUUUAUUAUUCUUGCAUUUUAUUUUUUAAAUUUGUAUUAUUUAAUUUGUAUAAUGGAUAAGUUAAAAAAGGUUAAAAAAUAAUUGUGUUUCCAGUCCGGUACUGGCAGUCAGAAUAAGAGUAAGAAAACAGUUGGUAGUUCUAGCACUAAAAAAUAUUCAUGUAUUCUGGGAAUUGAAGCAGAACAUGAAGGUGUUGAUUUAUAUUGUGGUGCAUAUGAUAUGAAUUAUCUAGAGCAACAAGAAAAUUAUAGUUUAGAAUCUCGGGCAGCCCAAAUAAUAUAAAGAAAGGAUACUUAUUUCAAAGUGGUUCAAGUAGUUCAGCGGACUGAAAAUCUUAGUAUGGUUUGAAUCCACAUAUACUUCACAACUUUAAUAGUUCAUACCAGUAAUUUGUGUCAUUCAUGCCGAAGCAUAUAUUCUAGGUUUUCUUAAAAGCAAAUCCUCAUUAAGAUGAUCAAUAUUUUAUGGUAACAAACCCAAAAAUAUCUAUGGACCAACAAUAGCUUUUUCUCAUUUUCCCCCUUGUUUCUUGAACCCCGAACCUCAUGGGGAGAGUCCUCUCCAUUAAGACUACGAUUAUAUAAAAAAUAUGAUGGUGUACGGCUAUUCCAUCUAAUUUCUACUAGGAAAGGAAUUGCGUAAACUCUCUACCCACCAAGAUUUAGGCAAAUGAAAAAAAAACCACCUAUUUAAGAAUAUUAUAGUAGACUAGAUAUCUUUUAUACAUAUACAUACAUAUAUAUACACGCGCGCACACAAAGCUGAAAAGCCCCUAAAACACAUAGACAUUGAAGUUAAUUAUUCUUAAAAAAGCAUCAAAGAAAAAGAAAUUUGAAGGGUUUCCGGACAAAGCAUUGAUUUUGGAUUUUGGAGAUUCAAACCCAAGUGAAGUUUUCUUUAAAUUUGAUUAAUAUUUUUAACAAGUGCAAGAUGACCAACAUUUUAUACUCCAUUGACAUUCGGCUUAAAGUAUGCAUAUUUUUAUAUAUAUUUCCUUGCAUUUUACUCAUGUUUCGUAGAUUUUGGAUGUGUAAUAUAAUGAUUUGUGCUAAUUUAUGGUAUUUCUAUGUGUAGGAAACAUCCGGAGGCAAUUUGGGACGAAUGUGCGCGAAUUGAAGCGAAAAUGGGAAGAAAAGGAAAAAAUGCACAUUGUAGCGCCAUAGACAGCGUGGGGCGCUACCUGUGGCGCACAAAAUAGAACCUUCAAAAGCCCAGCGCCAGGGCUAGCGCCCCACGCUACCCUGGGCGCUGGUGACGUAAAAUUAUCCUAGUUCGACCGGGACUCGGUUGUUUCAACCCCAAGACGUCCCCAACUCGUAUAAAAGCAAACCUAAACAUAUUUUGGCAAGGGGGACACUACUUUGAGAGAAGAACAAAAGUACGAAACACUCGGGAGCACAGAAUUCAUCAAUUCUUCCAUUCUUCCUCUUGUAUUCAUCGAUUUUAUGUUUGAAAAUAAUAUUUUGAUGAUUGUUAUGAACAUAAGUGGCUAAGAACCCUAUUAUUCUG